GUAGGUGAACCUGCGGAGGGAUCAUUACCGAGCGAGGGUGCCCUGCGCCCGACCUCCAACCCUUUGUCGUACCGACCUCUGUUGCCUCGGGGGUAACCCGGACGCUUCGGCGCCGGGGCCCCCGGCGGACCACAUAACCCUGCAUCUAUGCGUCUGAGUACGAGAACAAAUCGAAUUAAAACUUUCAACAACGGAUCUCUUGGUUCUGGCAUCGAUGAAGAACGCAGCAUCUGACUGACUUCAGUACGAG
rnacentral:misc_RNA from 1 species